CAGCGAAACUUCCUCUAGUGUUUUCAUGCGCAGGCUGCAGAUGAUGUUCUUCCAACAGUUUAAAUCCAACUUCAACUGCUACAACCGCAUGGUUUGCCUUUUGUAGGAACAUCAGCAGAUUUUGUGGAUUCUGGACAGUCAGGUCUCGCAUCCAUCAGGAGAUUCUGUUUAGUUGUUUGGUGUUCAAAGACGACAGCGAUGAUCAUCAGACUUGGCAGACUGACUCCUGGAUACUUCCGUCUUUUGCAGAGACAGGUAGCUGGUGAGGUGCAGGCCCCAACACGUGACCGCUCCACCAACCAAAUUGCCAUGAUGCUGGCCAUCAUGGGUCUCAGCCUUUCCUACUACAGUGCCAAACAGAUGACGGAGAAGGUUGGGCACAAGCCCGCGCCAUGAAAACGCUCCUCGUUCGUUUGCUUCUGGAGAGGAAAGAAAGAAGCCAAUCUGUAGGUGAAGGUGGAGCGGGAUCACCACGUCCAGUCUUUCACAAUACUCCCUCUCUGUAUCUAUCAGAAACUGAUUUCUGAGCAUUCACUAACCACCAAUCCUGGUCUGCUAGGGUUCUGUCACUUUAGUUUCGCUCUCAGCAGGUUGAAAUCUGCUUUAUUUGGGUUUCUUGGUCUUUAUAUCUUGAAAGUUGACUUUGUACAUGCAUCAGAGAGUCGAUCAAUACUGCCCGAGAUUUCUAGAAAAUAAGUUUAUCUCCUCCAUCAUGGAGAAUACUGCUGCUACUGUGAGCCAUAAAGCCUUCAAAGUGAGCGACCUCUGCAUUUCAGAUGUACCGGUCAACUAGUGACAGCAGAAUGAGAGAUUAUUUUCGAUUUAUCACCGAAAACUCACACCGACCCGAGGACACAAAGGCAUCAACACACUUGUCGUCUCUGUGAUGGACGAGGUGUUAUCAAGACAGAUUACAAUACUACACCGUCACCACUUUGGGAUCUCUCGUAAAGGGACUUUUCAUUUUAACUAAACACAAGAUUUCAUAUCAUGUUUAAUGGUCUUGAUCAGUGGAUUAUCCAGUAGUUCCUGUCAGACAUUUAACGUUCACUUUGUGUAUUUGUGCAAUCCGUGACAUUAUUUCUAACAGUUUUUAAAUAUAAUACUGUGAUUUAUGAUGAAUGUUUGUUAUGUUUUUGUGAAUCUAUGAACAAAUAAAGCUGUGAACUUUCUGAACAACA